UGUGUGUUUGUGUGUGUGUGUGUGUGUACAUACAUACACACACACACACACACACAUA
rnacentral:miRNA from 1 species